rnacentral:snoRNA from 2 species
UGCAGAUGAUGCUAGCAAAAUAUUUGCUAUCUGAGCUUCCUUGAUGACUCCCAACCACCAAGAUCGCUGAUGCA